GAUUGAACGCUGGCGGCAGGCUUAACACAUGCAAGUCGAGCGGGGGAAGUUGCUUCGGUAACUGACCUAGCGGCGGACGGGUGAGUAAUACUUAGGAAUCUGCCUAUUAAUGGGGGACAACAUCUCGAAAGGGAUGCUAAUACCGCAUACGCCCUACGGGGGAAAGCAGGGGAUCACUUGUGACCUUGCGUUAAUAGAUGAGCCUAAGUCGGAUUAGCUAGUUGGUGGGGUAAAGGCCUACCAAGGCGACGAUCUGUAGCGGGUCUGAGAGGAUGAUCCGCCACACUGGGACUGAGACACGGCCCAGACUCCUACGGGAGGCAGCAGUGGGGAAUAUUGGACAAUGGGGGGAACCCUGAUCCAGCCAUGCCGCGUGUGUGAAGAAGGCCUUAUGGUUGUAAAGCACUUUAAGCGAGGAGGAGGCUCUUUUGGUUAAUACCCAAGAUGAGUGGACGUUACUCGCAGAAUAAGCACCGGCUAACUCUGUGCCAGCAGCCGCGGUAAUACAGAGGGUGCGAGCGUUAAUCGGAUUUACUGGGCGUAAAGCGUGCGUAGGCGGCUUUUUAAGUCGGAUGUGAAAUCCCCGAGCUUAACUUGGGAAUUGCAUUCGAUACUGGGAAGCUAGAGUAUGGGAGAGGAUGGUAGAAUUCCAGGUGUAGCGGUGAAAUGCGUAGAGAUCUGGAGGAAUACCGAUGGCGAAGGCAGCCAUCUGGCCUAAUACUGACGCUGAGGUACGAAAGCAUGGGGAGCAAACA
rnacentral:rRNA from 1 species